rnacentral:rRNA from 1 species
GAUGAACGCUAGCGGCAGGCCUCAUACAUGCAAGUCGAGGGGCAGCGGAACACUUCGGUGUUGCCGGCGACCGGCGAACGGGUGCGUAACACGUAUGCAAUCUACCUUGUACUGGGGAAUAGCUUCCGGAAACGGGAAUUAAUACCCCAUAUGCUCUUAGUAGCUCAUGCUACAGAGAGGAAAGCUCCGGCGGUACAAGAUGAGCAUGCGUCCCAUUAGCUAGUUGGUAAGGUAACGGCUUACCAAGGCGACGAUGGGUAGGGGUUCUGAGAGGAAGAUCCCCCACACUGGCACUGAGAUACGGGCCAGACUCCUACGGGAGGCAGCAGUAGGGAAUAUUGGUCAAUGGGCGAAAGCCUGAACCAGCCAUGCCGCGUGCAGGAUGAAGGCCCUCAGGGUUGUAAACUGCUUUUUUGUACGGGAACAAAAAGCGCCUGCGGGCGUCAUUGAGUGUACCGUAAGAAUAAGCACCGGCUAAC